AACAUCUCUCUCCAUCUCUUUGGUGGGUUAGAUAGGAGGUCCAGUCGGACCCAUUUCACUGCGACACCUGCUUUAUUCUAUCCAACAUUAACAACGGACAGGGCUGUCAGARCAGAACGAAUGAGCAAAUAGCGGACAGGUCUGGACGAGAACACCCGUCUUACGGCUCACUAUGAAACAGGGUGGUCUCGUGGACGACACGGAGGAUGUGGAGUUGGAUUUCAGUACCGAAGAGGAGGAGCAGAGAGCGCGCAGGGGGGCAAAGAUCCGACACCCCCUCGCUCCUUCCUGCACCUGUUCUUCCGAGUG